rnacentral:rRNA from 1 species
AGGACGAACGCUGGCGGCGUGCUUAACACAUGCAAGUCGAGCGGAAAGGCCCUUCGGGGUACUCGAGCGGCGAACGGGUGAGUAACACGUGAGUAACCUGCCCCUAGCUCUGGGAUAGCUCCGGGAAACCGGGAUUAAUACCAGAUACGACCACUUUAGACAUCUGUCGUGGUGGAAAGGAUUCCGGCUAGGGAUGGGCUCGCGGCCUAUCAGCUUGUUGGUGGGGUAACGGCCUACCAAGGCGACGACGGGUAGCCGGCCUGAGAGGGCGACCGGCCACACUGGGACUGAGACACGGCCCAGACUCCUACGGGAGGCAGCAGUGGGGAAUAUUGCGCAAUGGGCGAAAGCCUGACGCAGCGACGCCGCGUGGGGGAUGAAGGCCUUCGGGUUGUAAACCCCUUUCAGCAGGGACGAAGCGAAAGUGACGGUACCUGCAGAAGAAGCCCGGACUAACUACGCGCCAGCAGCCGC